UACAGAGGGGGCAAGCGUUGUUCGGAAUUACUGGGCGUAAAGGGCGCGUAGGCGGCCUGCUAAGUCGAACGUGAAAUCCCCGGGCUCAACCCGGGAACUGCGUCCGAUACUGGCAGGCUUGAAUUCGGGAGAGGGAUGCGGAAUUCCAGGUGUAGCGGUGAAAUGCGUAGGUAUCUGGAGGAACACCGGUGGCGAAGGCGGCAUCCUGGACCGAAAUUGACGCUGAGGCGCGAAAGCCAGGGGAGCAAACGGG
rnacentral:rRNA from 1 species